rnacentral:rRNA from 1 species
UAGGGAAUCUUCGGCAAUGGACGAAAGUCUGACCGAGCAACGCCGCGUGAGUGAAGAAGGUUUUCGGAUCGUAAAACUCUGUUGUUAGAGAAGAACAAGGACGUUAGUAACUGAACGUCCCCUGACGGUAUCUAACCAGAAAGCCACGGCUAACUACGUGCCAGCAGCCGCGGUAAUACGUAGGUGGCAAGCGUUGUCCGGAUUUAUUGGGCGUAAAGCGAGCGCAGGCGGUUUCUUAAGUCUGAUGUGAAAGCCCCCGGCUCAACCGGGGAGGGUCAUUGGAAACUGGGAACCUUGAGUGAAGAAGGGGAGAGUGAAAUUCCAUGUGUAGCGGUGAAAUGCGUAGAUGUAUGGAGGAACACCAGUGGCGAAGGCGGCUCUCUGGUCUGUAACUGACGCUGAGGCUCGAAAGCGUGGGGAGCAAACAGG